rnacentral:rRNA from 1 species
AACGAACGCUGGCGGCAGGCCUAACACAUGCAAGUCGAGCGGGGGAGCAAUCCCUAGCGGCGGACGGGUUAGUAACGCGUGGGAACAUACCCUUUGGUACGGAAUAGCCUCGGGAAACUGAGAGUAAUACCGUAUGUGCCCUUCGGGGGAAAGAUUUAUCGCCAAAGGAUUGGCCCGCGUUGGAUUAGGUAGUUGGUGGGGUAAUGGCCUACCAAGCCUACGAUCCAUAGCUGGUUUGAGAGGAUGAUCAGCAACACUGGGACUGAGACACGGCCCAGACUCCUACGGGAGGCAGCAGUGGGGAAUCUUAGACAAUGGGCGCAAGCCUGAUCUAGCCAUGCCGCGUGAGCGAUGAAGGCCUUAGGGUUGUAAAGCUCUUUCAGAUGGGAAGAUAAUGACGGUACCAUCAGAAGAAGCCCCGGCUAACUCCGUGCCAGCAGCCGCGGUAAU